rnacentral:rRNA from 1 species
UGCAAGUCGAACGGUAACAGGCCGCAAGGUGCUGACGAGUGGCGAACGGGUGAGUAAUGCAUCGGAACGUGCCCAGUAGUGGGGGAUAGCCCGGCGAAAGCCGGAUUAAUACCGCAUACGACCUACGGGUGAAAGCGGGGGACCGAAAGGCCUCGCGCUAUUGGAGCGGCCGAUGUCAGAUUAGGUAGUUGGUGGGGUAAAGGCCUACCAAGCCUACGAUCUGUAGCUGGUCUGAGAGGACGACCAGCCACACUGUGACUGAGACACGGCCCAGACUCCUACGGGAGGCAGCAGUGGGGAAUUUUGGACAAUGGGCGCAAGCCUGAUCCAGCCAUGCCGCGUGCGGGAAGAAGGCCUUCGGGUUGUAAACCGCUUUUGUCAGGGAAGAAAUCUUCUGGGUUAAUACCUCGGGAGGAUGACGGUACCUGAAGAAUAAGCACCGGCUAACUACGUGCCAGCAGCCGCGGUAAUACGUAGGGUGCAAGCGUUAAUCGGAAUUACUGGGCGUAAAGCGUGCGCAGGCGGUUAUGUAAGACAGAUGUGAAAUCCCCGGGCUUAACCUGGGAACUGCAUUUGUGACUGCAUAGCUUGAGUGCGGCAGAGGGGGAUGGAAUUCCGCGUGUAGCAGUGAAAUGCGUAGAUAUGCGGAGGAACACCGAUGGCGAAGGCAAUCCCCUGGGCCUGCACUGACGCUCAUGCACG